UACGUAGGGUGCGAGCGUUGUCCGGAAUUACUGGGCGGAAAGAGCUCGUAGGUGGUUUGUCGCGUUGUCCGUGAAAACUCACAACUCAAUUGUGGGCGUGCGGGCGAUACGGGCAGACUGGAGUACUGCAGGGGAGACUGGAAUUCCUGGUGUAGCGGUGGAAUGCGCAGAUAUCAGGAGGAACACCGGUGGCGAAGGCGGGUCUCUGGGCAGUAACUGACGCUGAGGAGCGAAAGCGUGGGGAGCGAACAGG
rnacentral:rRNA from 1 species